UACGUAGGGUGCAAGCGUUAAUCGGAAUUACUGGGCGUAAAGCGUGCGCAGGCGGCUAUGCAAGACAGAUGGUGAAAUCCCCGGGCUCAACCUGGGAACUGCAUUUGUGACUGCAUGGCUAGAGUACGGCAGAGGGGGGUAGAAUUCCUGGUGUAGCAGUGAAAUGCGUAGAUAUCAGGAGGAAUACCGAUGGCGAAGGCAGCCCCCUGGGUCGAUACUGAACGCUCAUGCACGACAGCGUGGGGAUCAAACAGG
rnacentral:rRNA from 1 species